rnacentral:lncRNA from 1 species
UAGACUCAAGUUUGAAGUUCCGGCAAAGCUAGUAAAGCCGAUGAAGAUCGAUCAGCAUCCUUUCCCUACUAACAUGGUCGAUGUGGGAAGAAACGCACUCCAAACCAAGGUGCUAACGUCAGAAUCGGCUAAGAGAAGCGGCACCGUGGACCCCAGAAAUCACCCUACGGUUGAGGGUGUCAAAGGGAAAAGACGGGUCGAAGACAAGGGCGAAGGAUUAGAG